GACAGCCUGUAGGCGCACUGUAGAGCCGUAUUCACCCCGAAACAAGUAAGGACCCCUCACCCUGUUUCCUAUCACGGUAUUAAAGCUAAAUAAAUAAUUAAAUUGUACUUUGUGACUUUAUAGAUGCAUAAUUGAUUAAGGUUGCCAAUGGAGCCCGAGUCUGAUACAGUGUUGGUCUGUUAUUGUUUGAUUUAAUUUUCAGUAUUAAAUGCAGCAUGAUGUUUGAUGUAAUUAUAU
rnacentral:lncRNA from 1 species